rnacentral:rRNA from 1 species
AGAGUUUGAUUAUGGCUCAGGAUGAACGCUAGCUACAGGCUAACACAUGCAAGUCGAGGGGCAGCAUGGGAUUAGCUUGCUAAUCCUGAUGGCGACCGGCGCACGGGUGAGUAACGCGUAUCCAACCUUCCCCCUGCUCAGGGAUAGCCCGGUGAAAACCGGAUUAAUACCUGAUGGUUUCAUUUGACGGCAUCAGAUGAUGAAUAAAGAAAUUCGGCAAGGGAUGGGGAUGCGUCUGAUUAGCUAGAUGGUGAGGUAACGGCCCACCAUGGCGACGAUCAGUAGCCGUACUGAGAGGUAGAACGGCCACAUUGGGACUGAGACACGGUCCAAACUCCUACGGGAGGCAGCAGUAGGGAAUAUUGGUCAAUGGGGGAAACCCUGAACCAGCCGACGCCGCGUGAGUGAAGAAGUAUUUCGGUAUGUAAAGCUCUAUCAGCAGGGACGAUGAUGACGGUACCUGACUAAGAAGCCCCGGCUAACUACGUGCCAGCCGCCGC